rnacentral:ncRNA from 2 species
AAUACUCUCCGGGGCAGGGUGAAAUUCCCGACCGGCGGUUAAAGCCCGCGAGUCUUCGGACUGAUCCGGUGAAAUUCCGGAGCCGACAGUGAAAGUCUGGAUGGGAGGAGAGAACA